UACGUAGGGUGCAAGCGUUAAUCGGAAUUACUGGGCGUAAAGCGUGCGCAGGCGGUGAUGUAAGACAGUUGUGAAAUCCCCGGGCUCAACCUGGGAACUGCAUCUGUGACUGCAUCGCUGGAGUGCGGCAGAGGGGGAUGGAAUUCCGCGUGUAGCAGUGAAAUGCGUAGAUAUGCGGAGGAACACCGAUGGCGAAGGCAAUCCCCUGGGCCUGCACUGACGCUCGUGCACGAAAGCGUGGGGAGCAAACAGG
rnacentral:rRNA from 1 species